rnacentral:lncRNA from 1 species
AAGCAGUCAUGGCAACAAGAUGUCACCCUGUCAUAUCUUCUAUGUGUGUUUAUUUUGACCACAUGACAGUGUUAAGUUGGCCACUCUUACUUUUCUGACCACAUGACAGUGUUAAGUUGACCGUUGUUACCUCUCGCCAUUUAGGGAAAAGACACAAAAAUUAGAUUGCCAGAUCAUAAUCCAUCUAUGUGCACAAUGAGUGGUCCUCCUGGAAGCAUACCUGAUGAUUAUCCUGCAAACAUGCAAAAGAGCAAGAUUGAAAAGCAGGUAAG